CACGUGAGUAACCUGCCCUUGACUCUGGGAUAAGCCUGGGAAACCGGGUCUAAUACUGGAUACGACCUUCCCGCGCAUGCGGUGUUGGUGGAAAGCUUUUGCGGUUUUGGAUGGACUCGCGGCCUAUCAGCUUGUUGGUGGGGUAAUGGCCUACCAAGGCGACGACGGGUAGCCGGCCUGAGAGGGUGACCGGCCACACUGGGACUGAGACACGGCCCAGACUCCUACGGGAGGCAGCAGUGGGGAAUAUUGCACAAUGGGCGCAAGCCUGAUGCAGCGACGCCGCGUGAGGGAUGAAGGCCUUCGGGUUGUAAACCUCUUUCAGUAGGGAAGAAGUCGGCCUUUCGGGGUUGGUGACGGUACCUGCAGAAGAAGCGCCGGCUAACUACGUGCCAGCAGCCGCGGUAAUACGUAGGGCGCAAGCGUUAUCCGGAAUUAUUGGGCGUAAAGAGCUCGUAGGCGGUUUGUCGCGUCUGCCGUGAAAGUCCGGGGCUUAACUCCGGAUCUGCGGUGGGUACGGGCAGACUAGAGUGCAGUAGGGGAGACUGGAAUUCCUGGUGUAGCGGUGAAAUGCGCAGAUAUCAGGAGGAACACCGAUGGCGAAGGCAGGUCUCUGGGCUGUAACUGACGCUGAGGAGCGAAAGCAUGGGGAGCGAACAGGAUUAGAUACCCUGGUAGUCCAUGCCGUAAACGUUGGGCACUAGGUGUGGGGGACAUUCCACGUUUUCCGCGCC
rnacentral:rRNA from 1 species